UAGAAAGAGAUGGCAUGAGUUUGUGUUCAUUAUCCCCGAAAAAUUUCGCUUGGGAAGAACAAGGUUAUUAGACUCUAUACAGGUUACGACAGAGCGUUUGAGAGGGUCACCAUUAUGGAUACCUUGUUUACAACUUUUCUGUCAAAAUAGAUGCCGACCAGCUGUUGCUUGGCACGAGCAACAUAAAUAAGUUUACAGAAGACGAAAUUACUGCUACAAUUAUUCUUCAUGCUAACUAGUUAUAUCAUUUAUAGAAUAUGACUUCUAUGUUGGAUUGGUUAAUGCUAAGUCAAUUUUGCUUACAUGCCCUGAAUAUCGUCGGAUUGUUUCAUCAGUUUCAAUUGUUCUACAGGUUUGGUAUUGCUGUCCUAGCUUCAGUGGACGAGAGUUCAUGCCGUCCAGCAGCAACAGUGUCCAAACUGGGUUAUUGUGCUGUCCCAGAUGCUGCCCCUCGUAUGAGAAGUGGCCAGAUCCCAUGUCGCUUCGCGCAUAACAGCUCGUCCUUUAUUCGGAUUGGAACGGACACGGAACAAUUCAGUGAAAGAGUAUCGAUGUGAUGACACCCUUUUGACGAUGUUGGUCAGGGAACCAGUGAUGAUGUGGUGCAAAAAAUGCUACCGGCAUCACUUUCGUUCCGCUAUUGCACUUGACCCGAACUAGGACCGCGACGGCGCAGACGAACUUGCGGCAGCGGUGAUGAUGCGUAUCCCUCCUUCGAAAUUGCGGUGCUGAGAUGAUGAUAAGGUAGAAGCUUGUGUGGAAUAAGGCUGCAGCCAAAACGGAAUGAAUAUUUGUUUUCUUUGAACUGGAACGGCAACAGUGGCAGCAUAGACGAUCGUCUCGAACAUGACGACUGCAACGAACCGACAUGGAACCGCGGACAAUAACUUAAAUAACAACUAUGCAUAAGCACAAAUAUACUUAUAGUUUAUUUCCUAA